rnacentral:rRNA from 1 species
GACGAACGCUGGCGGCGUGCUUAACACAUGCAAGUCGAACGAAGUGGCGAACGGGUGAGUAAUACGUGGGUAACCUGCCCUCCUUUUUGGGAUAAGCCUUGGAAACGGGGUCUAAUACCGAAUAAAGGGUGCGGGGCGGGCGGCCGGUCAGCUUGUUGGUGGGGUGAUAGCCUACGAAGGCGGUGACGGGUAGCCGGCCUGAGAGGGUGAACGGCCACAGAGGGACGGAGAUACGGCCCAGACUACUAAGGGAGGCAGCAGUGGGGGAUAUUGCACAAUGUGUGAAAGCGUGAUGCAGCGACGCCGCGGGGGGUAUGAAGGCUUUCGGGUUGUAAAGCUCGUGAGCAAUAGAAAGGGUAGGUGGAGAAGAAGCGACGGCUAACUACGUGCCAGCAGCCGCGGUAAUAC